UGAGACUUUAUUUGGCCAUCAUCAUGUUUCAUGGACGGCUUUUUUCAGGUAUGGUAUAGUAUAACAUUUAUAAAAAUAGUUAAACAAUAUUUAAUUUUAAAUUAAUUUAUGUUUAUUAUAUUAUGCUUUAAAUGUAAUAAUGAUUGCUAUUCGUUGGAUAAAGCUAGCCUUUAGCCCAAUCCCAGUUGGUGUUGGUGUCAUGGUUGACGGCGUCAUUAAAACAACUCGAAAAAACUGAUGGUGUCAUUUUUUGAAUUGUAUUUAUUUUUGUUAUUGGUUUGGACCAGGCUAUAUCGUUUACACUGAGUAUUUUGAAUGAAAUCAAACCGCUUUAAAAGCACCCAACCGAGUAAUGAGCGAUCAGCCAUUUUUUCGGUAGGUAGUUCAGUGCGGUUUAACGUAUUUCGGGGAAUCCCUUUGUCACAGUACACGAAAUUAUAAAGGUGCAGCCAGCUGCAGGUCCCACUUGGUGGAGCGAGCUGGAAAAAAAUAUUGUCAAAAAAUGGGAAUAGAUCGAUUUCUAAAGCUUUCGAUCUCAAAACUAAUAAUGAACACAACCAUUAAGAAUGAUUUUUAAAACUAUAAUGUAUUAUAUUUUUUAAAUAUUUUUAUAAAACCCCAUAAAAAUAGACU